GUGAAUGAACUAAUCAUUUGUCAACCUUCCCGAUGCGUUUUCUGCAACUAUGCGUCACAUGCUUGUUGUCUUUGCAUUGAGAGUUGAUACAGGCUUCUGCCUCUUCCUUCUCGGGGUGCCAAAAGACCCAUUCUUAUCCAUCAAAAUCUCCCCUCUAUAAAAUAGCAAAUCAAGUGUAAAAGAGAAAUGACCCAGUGUUUUCCUGAAAGAAUUAAGCAUAUAGAAAGAAAAUGUUGGUGAUGGGAAUAAGCUUGCAAUGCUUGAUGGACUUGGUGGUAGCUGGGUUUUCCCUCAUGAUUGGGUUGGGGAUUUUCGCUUUCAUUGCUUCAAUUUUAUGCUCUGCUGCUUUCUACCAGAACGCCAAGCAACUUUCUUGAAACCCCUUUAUGGAUUUAGGAUAGAAAAAACAUAAGAAAUAAAAGGUUUUCUUCCACCAUCUCCCACAUGAUUUUGGCACCUUUGCUGCUUGUAAUGUAAGCCAGGAACUGCAUGGAGAGAUGAACUGAACUGAUAAGUAGAGCCCAUUUUAACUGUUUUGUUCUUUGUAAUUGGUAGAGAGAAGUAUGUGCCGUUCGAAAAAAGGCUUUUGUUUCGCAAUAGAGGAAUGAAUAUGCAGUUUUGAGACAGCUAUUUCACCUUCUACAAUAUAAAUAGUUUGAUGUUUUAGAAAAUUAAGAAGGAAUUUUUUUUAUUAGUUUUUCAA